GAUGAACGCUAGCGGCAGGCCUAAUACAUGCAAGUCGAACGGGAUCCAGAUCAAAGCUUGCUUGGUUUGGGGGGGAGGGGCGACGGGUGCGUAAACGCGUGGCCAACCAACCUUUGUAAGGGGAUUACCCGGGCAAAAUUGGAAUAAAAACCCAAGGCCACCAUGAGGGGGAUUUUUCGAAUGACCAAAAUUUUAUGGACCAAGGUGGGGUCGCGUGACCUUAGCUAGUUGGUAAGGGAACGGGUUACCAAGGCUACGAUGUCUAGGGGCUCUGAGAGGAGAAUCCCCCACACUGGUACUGAGACACGGACCAGACUCCUACGGGAGGCAGCAGUAAGGAAUAUUGGUCAAUGGACGGAAGUCUGAACCAGCCAUGCCGCGUGCAGGAAGACGGCCCUAUGGGUUGUAAACUGCUUUUAUACGGGAACAAACGUCGGUACGUGUACCGGUCUGAGUGUACCGUAAGAAUAAGGAUCGGCUAACUCCGUG
rnacentral:rRNA from 1 species